AGCUGGUGAUGGAGUCUUUGGCGCGGACCAAUCCACUGUUGACCCCACUCUGAGGAAGAAGGGGAGAUCGCAGCCAGACUUGUGUCUUAAGAGCUGAACACCAGAGCCUGUAACCCAUCUAUGUUUGAAGAGCAGACCUGCUGCACUUGAGACAUUUAUGUGGGCAAUAAACUAUCCUGCUUAAACCA